GAUGAACGCUGGCGGCGUGCCUAAUACAUGCAAGUCGAGCGAACGGACGAGAAGCUUGCUUCUCUGAUGUUAGCGGCGGACGGGUGAGUAACACGUGGAUAACCUACCUAUAAGACUGGAGUAACUUCGGGAAACCGGAGCUAAUACCGGCUAAUAUUUUGAACCGCAUGGUUCAAAAGUGAAAGACGGUCUUGCUGUCACUUAUAGAUGGAUCCGCGCUGCAUUAGCUAGUUGGUAAGGUAACGGCUUACCAAGGCAACGAUGCAUAGCCGACCUGAGAGGGUGAUCGGCCACACUGGAACUGAGACACGGUCCAGACUCCUACGGGAGGCAGCAGUAGGGAAUCUUCCGCAAUGGGCGAAAGCCUGACGGAGCAACGCCGCGUGAGUGAUGAAGGUCUUCGGAUCGUAAAACUCUGUUAUUAGGGAAGAACAUAUGUGUAAGUAACUGUGCACAUCUUGACGGUACCUAAUCAGAAAGCCACGGCUAACUACGUG
rnacentral:rRNA from 1 species